CCUACGGGAGGCACCAGUAGGGAAUCUUCCGCAAUGGGCGAAAGCCUGACGGAGCAACGCCGCGUGAGUGAUGAAGGUCUUCGGAUCGUAAAACUCUGUUAUUAGGGAAGAACAUACGUGUAAGUAACUGUGCACGUCUUGACGGUACCUAAUCAGAAAGCCACGGCUAACUACGUGCCAGCAGCCGCGGUAAUACGUAGGUGGCAAGCGUUAUCCGGAAUUAUUGGGCGUAAAGCGCGCCUAGGCGGUUUUUUAAGUCUGAUGUGAAAUCCCACGGCUCAACCGUGGAGGGUCAUUGGAAACUGGAAAACUUGAGUGCAAAAGAGGAAAGUGGAAUUCCAUGUGUAGCGGUGAAAUGCGCAGAGAUAUGGAGGAACACCAGUGGCGAAGGCGACUUUCUGGUCUGUAACUGACGCUGAUGUGCGAAAGCGUGGGGAUCAAACAGGAUUAGAUACCCGGGUAGUC
rnacentral:rRNA from 1 species